rnacentral:rRNA from 1 species
CAGCAUCCAAGGUCCAAGCUCAUCAUCGAGGCAGCACGAUCCCUUAAUGGGCGCAAGCCUGAUGCAGCCAUGCCGCGUGUGUGAAGAAGGCCUUGGGUUGUAAAGCACUUUCAGCGGGAAGGAAGGGGGCAGCUUAAUACGUCUGUCCAUUGACGUUACCCGCAGAAGAAGCACCGGCUAACUCCGUGCCAGCACCCGCGGUAAUACGGAGGGUGCAAGCGUUAAUCGGAAAUGACUGGGCGUAAAGCGCACGCAGGCGGUCUGUUAAGUUGGAUGUGAAAUCCCCGGGUUAACCUGGGAACUGCAUUCAAAACUGACAGGCUAGAGUCUCGUAGAGGGGGGUAGAAUUCCAGGUGUAGCGGUGAAAGCGUAGAGAUCUGGAGGAAUACCGUUGGCGAAGGCGGCCCCUUGGACGAAGCUGACGCUCAGGUGCGAAAGCGUGGGGAGCAAACAGGUUAGAUACCCUGGUAGUCCACGCUGUAAACGAUGUCGAUUUGGAGGUGGUGCCCUUGAGGCGUGGUUCCGGAGCUAACGCGUUAAAUCGACCGCCUGGGGAGUACGGCCGCAAGGUUAAAACUCAAAUGAAUUGACGGGGGCCCGCACAAGCGGUGGAGCAUGUGGGUUUAAUUCCGAUGCAACGCGAAGAACCUUACCUACUCUUGACAUCAGAGAAGCCUGCAAGAUGCGGGCGUGCCUUCGGGAGCUCUGAGACAGGUGCUGCAUCA